rnacentral:lncRNA from 1 species
CGAAAAGUCACUAACACUGGGACGAUUUGGUCGGGCGGACCCCGCGGCUACUCCACGCCAGGAACCCGAUACCCAGGGUGGAGGGGGGCAGCAGGAGCGAGGACCCGGAGCGCGAGCAGCUGCAAGAGCAGCGGGGGCACCCGCACUCCUCGCCUGCCGACCCACGCUGCGCGCCCCUUCCUCUGAUUGGACGGGAGCAGCCCGGGGGGCGGGCGGACGGGAGGGAAGGCAGAGAUUGGCUAAGCGUGGGAAGAAGGCGGAGCCUUGUCGGGGAGGGAGGCGGAGCUUGGCUCCUAGGGCUAGCCCGGUCCCCCCGCUGGGAUUCCGCCCGGGGCUGGCGGCUCUGAGGCCUUCCAGAUAGACGACCCAGCAACCGGUGACGCCGCCCGCAGGAGGCCGACGACUGGUCAGCCGGGGACGCGGGACUGGAGCGUGACUCCCUAUCUCGAGGCGCCUCCCAGCUGCCCCACUCGGCGGCCGCGCGCUCCGCCUGCCCCUUCCUCCGACGCCCCAGUCCCGCGAUCCGGGAGGCGGGGGCGGCGAGCCGGCUGAGUGGGGGCUGCGCGGCGUACAAGGAGCCAGUCGGCGACCGAUUUCCUCCCAUUCACAGACCCUUUUGCUUCCAGGGCAAACUACAUCAUGGAAUGAGUGUACAGAACAUCCUGUUACAAAGGCAUGAGAAGAGAACAUCCUGUAGUGGCCACUCCUGCCCAUCGUGGAGGGAGCAGAAACUGCAGAGCUGAGGUGCUGUCCAAAGCAAAGGUGCAGUACUUUGGGGUUUCUCAGAUAACCAUCCCUUACCCGGGCCCCAGUCGUCUCUGAGACUUUUGCCCAGACUGCUGCUUCUGCACAGGUACCCUCCUUGUCCUUCCAGCCCAGGCCUGGCUGGGUUCACACUGGGGACUUAGAAAACCAGAGUCACAGAGGAAGGUGUUGCUGUCAUGUAGGCCCAGGGGCCUUCUCAUUGCCCCUCCCCCGUUGGUGUUUCCUAGUGCAUCUCCAGGCCCAGACCUCCGACGUACUGACACAAAACAGGCUGGCUAUUCC